AUUGAACGCUGGCGGCAGGCCUAACACAUGCGAGUCGAGCGCGAAAGUUCUUCGGAAUGAGUAAAGCGGCGGACGGGUGAGUAAUACAUGGGAAUCUGCCUGGUAGUGGGGGACAACGUUUCGAAAGGAACGCUAAUACCGCAUACGCCCUACGGGGAAAGGGGGGAGUCUUCGGACCUCUCGCUAUCAGAUGAGCCCAU
rnacentral:rRNA from 1 species